CAAUAUAAAAUGCUACUACUAUUAAAUAACCAAUAAUUAAAAUCCUUCAACUUUUAUCAAAUGAUGAUAGGGCUUAAAUUCAAAAACAAAACAAAAUUGAACUGGUCUUCAUAUAAGUCAGCAUACAGAAAUCAGAAUUACUUUCAACACAUCUUAAAUUCCAGUAAAUGCCUUCUUUCCAGCACCACUCGAUGAUCCAGCUGGGAUCACUUUCAAGACGUUGAACCUCACAGUCUUGGAGAGAGGCCUGAUGAAAUGCACAAAUAAAGCCAAUCAGACAAGUAUCUAUAUCAAUAAAUAUAAUCAAAAUACAUUAUAUUAAUUUAAUGGACAGAAAAAAAAAUUAGCCUAUUCAGUCUCACCUGCAUUGGCCAAUGAUUACAUGGUCUCCUUCCUUAACACGGAAGCAAGGUGAAACAUGAGCAGGAAUGUUAGAAUGCCUCUUCUCAUAUCUUAAUAAAUAUACAAAAAAAAAGGGAAUUAUAAGUUAUGUUUAAGCAAGGUGCAAAUCAAAAUAGGAAAUCAUGGUAUUAAAGGAGAAUACCUCUGAUACUUCUUAAUAAAGUGAAGAUAAUUCCUUCUAACAAUAAUAGUCCUGUUCAUCUUAGCACUGUGACAGGUUCCAGAUAAAAUACGGCCCCUGAUGGAAACAUUGCCGGUGAAGGGGCACUUCUUGUCAAUGUAGGUUC
rnacentral:lncRNA from 1 species